rnacentral:rRNA from 1 species
AUUGAACGCUGGCGGCAGGCCUAACACAUGCAAGUCGAGCGAGAGGCGGACGGGUGAGUAAUGUAUGGGGAACUGCCCGAUAGAGGGGGAUAACUACUGGAAACGGUGGCUAAUACCGCAUACUAUCGGAUGAAACCAUAUGGGAUUAGCUAGUUGGUGGGGUAAAGGCUCACCUUGGCGACGAUUUCUAGCUGGUCUGAGAGGAUGAUCCGCCACACUGGGACUUAGACACGUCCCAGCCUCCUUCGGGAGGCCGCAGUUGGGAAUCUUGCCCAAUGGGCGCAAGCCUGCUUCCGCCAUUCCGCGUGUUUUAAGAAUGCCUUCGGGUUUUAAAGUACUUUCAGCGGGGAGGCGUUACCCGCAGAAGAAGCACCGGCUAACUCCGUGCCAGCAGCCGCGGUAAUUC